UAAAACAUGUUGAACAGUGUAUCUUUUCAUGAAGAGAGGUACAUGUUUUUAAUGAAGUUUGUUCCUUUUCAGUGUAUCUGAAGCUAAGCUUCCAAAGUAUCCACAGAAGACUGAAGCAUUGCAUGUACAUUUGCAGGUUGGAAUCUGAGAGGUCCCCAUCCCAGAUGAGGAAAGAGGAUUUCCUGCCCAUUGGGGGAGAAGAUCUCAGUGAGGAUCCAUCAUUUAUUUGGAAUAAUCUUUGCUGAUUGAUUGUUUUUUAAGCUUUACAUUUUAAUUUUGGAGGACUCAUGUUCUUUUCUUUGCACACAUUUGAGCAGAAGGCCGGAAAAAGUAUCCAGGAUUUCAAUGGACAAUGGGGACAUGAGUUUGCUUGCAACAGCUGAACAUGACUGAUAGAUUCCAUUUUGCAAACAGUGACAGCCCUCCCAUUUAGUAUUGGUCAUCCAUCUGCUUUCGAUGCAAUUUUCGGACAUGGUAACAACAUUUUCCACUUCAAAGGUCUUUGGUUUGCAGUGCAAUAAUGCUUAAUUCAAGUUUAUAGGUUGAGUUGAAAAUAAUCUGGAAACUCACAUAAAUAACACU